UUUUUGCCUUGAUGUCUGUCUGCAAUGUAGUGUCACCUAAUUAGAAAACAUGACCACGAACUGUAUCCAGUUCUAACAAGCCAAAUGCUUUCCUCAGUUCCUGGGGCCCAGCUUAAAGGGGCUGACAACUACGGAAGAAGCCUUUUGCUUGGCAGAGUCCAUGAUGGUACCCAGAACCCAAGAUAAGACCAUGCUCAGAGAUCACCAACAUUUCUCAGAGUACACAGAGCUUUGCGGAAACAGCUCGCAUUACCCUCAUCACCACAUCCCAGCCCACAAAACAUGCAGAAACCCACUGCUUUACCAGAGGCCACAACUUGAACUGGAACUCCAGGUACCGCUGCAGAACCCUAGAGGCCAUGCCAGCACCCACAGCCCUAGAGGUCACCCAGGGUUUCAUAGUGAACCAGUAGAGUCACCUGUCACCAUAAACACAGGCCACCCAGGCCAGAAGAUCAGAAAGGAAAUAGAAACUAUGAAUAAAAAAACAUUAAGUAA
rnacentral:lncRNA from 1 species